ACGGUCAGUGACACUGUGCUGUUGAGGCGGGAAGAACUGCGAUUGGAGACUGAUUACAUGACGGAUGUUACUCAACGAGAUUUACGUCUGUGGAUCUGCUCGGACAUUAAACGAAAUUCUCUGGAAAACAUAAGAAUUUAUUCUGACCGAAACAUCUCAGGAGCCAUCAAACACAGUGACUACAAGGGUCAAGGCACCGUGUUGACUGUGACGGAUGAAUGUGAGCAACCCACUGGGGGUGUGAAGGUCUCUUUCCUGCCACCCUCGCAGCAACAGGUUUUAAUGGAGUCCACUGUAACGCUGACAUGUGUCGUGGCCAAUGCACCACUUGACGUCAACGUGACUUGGACACAAGGAAAGACACAUUUACAGUCUGGAUAUGGGAAACCGUCUGCCACUGAGCCUCAGGAAGUGAUCAGUAAAUUAAACGUUUCUACACAGGACUGGAAGAGUGGGAAAGAAUUCUUCUGCCUUGCCAAUCAUGAAGAUAUUCCAACUCCCAUCGGAGAAAAGACAUUUAAGAGGAAAGUUAUGUACACAAAACAACCUUCAGUGUAUCUGCUCCUCCCCUCGGCAGAAGAAAUGGCUGCUCAGCAGUUUGUCACCUUGACCUGCCUGGUGAAGGACUUCGCUCCCAAAGAGAUCUUUGUGCAGUGGACUGUGAAUGACCAGUUGAUUGAUGCCAACAAGUACAGAAACACCGAGGUGAUGGCAGACAGUGAAGAUCUCAACUACUCCAUGUACAGCAUGUUAACCCUCUCAGUCGAUGAGUGGAACAGAAGACCCUCAUACUCAUGUGUGGUGGGCCACGAAACGUUCCCACUGAAGACCCUGACCAGAACCGUAAAUAAAUCCAGCGGUAAACCGAGUUUUGUAAACCUUGCACUUGUCCUGAUGGACACCGUGAAUCCGUGUCACUGAGUGUCUCUCAAUACCAUCUUGCUUGUCCUUUUGUGCACCCACCUUCUUGCCAUUGCAUUGUCAGUUUUCAACAAUUAAAUCAAAUAAAGAUCAUUGUUUUAUUGAUGUAUCAGG